rnacentral:rRNA from 1 species
AAUCAGUUCAGCACUAAGUCACUUUGUCUUUAUGGCAAAUGUGAGAUGCAGUGUAUGGAAUGUUCAAUUUCUAGUAUGAGAAAUUAACGAUUUAAGUCCUUCUUAAAUGAGGCCAUUUACCCAUAGAGGGUGCCAGGCCCGUAUAACGUUAAUGAUUACUAGAGAACAUUUCCAAAGAGUCGUGUUGCUUGAUAGUGCAGCACUAAGUGGGUGGUAAACUCCAUCUAAAACUAAAUAUAACCAUGAGACCGAUAGUAAACAAGUACCGUGAGGGAAAGUUGAAAAGAACUCUGAAUAGAGAGUUAAAUAGUACGUGAAACUGCUUAGAGGUUAAGCCCGAUGAACCUGAAUAUCCAUUAUGGAAAAUUCAUCAUUAUGAUUGUGAUAUGAAUAAUAUCAUAAUAAUGGUGUGCAUUUUUUCCAUAUAAGGACAUUGUAAUCUAUUAACAUGCCAUAAUUUAUCAUAAGAUCGAUGACUUAAGUUUAUUCGAAUUAUUUUGCUUGCAUUUUAACAUAGAAUAAAUGUUGUUGAUUUGAUAAAGUGUUGAUAGAUUUAUUAUAUACAGUGCUUGAAUAUUUAUAUUCUAUAAUAGCAUGGUAAUCAUGAUUAUUGUGUUUAUUAUAUGCACUUGUAUGAUUAACAAUGCGAAAGAUUCAGGAUACCUUCGGGACCCGUCUUGAAACACGGACCAAGGAGU